GUGUAGGAUAGUGUUAAUACUUUUAAAUGAGGUUCUCCCCUCAUCUAUCUAAACUUCAGCGAGUCCCGGCCCAGUGCCGU